rnacentral:rRNA from 1 species
GUGGCAUCUGAUGCUUAUUGCACCACAUGUGUUUUUCUUUGAAACAAACUUGCUUUGGCGGUGGGCCCAGCCUGCCGCCAGAGGUCUAAACUUGCAACCAAUUUUUUAUCAACUUGUCACACCAGAUUAUUACUAAUAGUCAAAACUUUCAACAACGGAUCUCUUGGUUCUCGCAUCGAUGAAGAACGCAGCGAAAUGCGAUACGUAAUAUGAAUUGCAGAUAUUCGUGAAUCAUCGAAUUUUUGAACGCACAUUGCGCCCUCUGGUAUUCCGGAGGGCAUGCCUGUUUGAGCGUCGUUUCUCCCUCAAACCGCUGGGUUUGGUGUUGAGCAAUACGACUUGGGUUUGCUUGAAAGACGGUAGUGGUAAGGCGGGAUCGCUUUGACAAUGGCUUAGGUCUAACCAAAAACAUUGCUUGCGGCGGUAACGUCUACCACGUAUAUCUUCAAACUUUGACCUCAAAUCAGGUAGGACUACCCGCUGAACUUAAGCAUAUCAAAAGCCGGGAGGAA